rnacentral:rRNA from 1 species
GGGUUCGACUCCGGAGAGGGAGCCUGAGAAACGGCUACCACAUCCAAGGAAGGCAGCAGGCGCGCAAAUUACCCAAUCCCGAUACGGGGAGGUAGUGACAAGAAAUACCGAUUCAGGAUCUUAUUGGAUCUUGAGAUUGGAAUGAGUACAAUUCAAACCCAUUAACGAGGAACAACUAGAGGGCAAGUCUGGUGCCAGCAGCCGCGGUAAUUCCAGCUCUAGUAGCGUAUAUUAAAAUUGUUGCAGUUAAAACGCUCGUAGUUGAACUUUGGGCUUGGCUGGCUGGUCCGCCUCACCGCGAGCACUGGUCCGGCUGGGCCUUUCCUCUUGGGGAUCCACAUGCCCUUCACUUGGGUGUGUUGGGGAACCAGGACUUUUACUUUGAAAAAAUUAGGGUGUUCAAAGCAGGCAUUUGCUCGAAUACAUUAGCAUGGGAUAAUAGAAUAGGACGUGUGGUCUUAUUUUGUUGGUUUCUAGGACCGCCGUAAUGAUUGAUAGGGAUAGUUGGGGGCAUCGGUAUUCAAUUGUCAGAG